rnacentral:rRNA from 2 species
UCGACGAACUCUGGUAUUGAUUGGUGCUUGCAUCAUGAUUUACAUUUGAGUGAGUGGCGAACUGGUGAGUAACACGUGGGAAACCUGCCCAGAAGCGGGGGAUAACACCUGGAAACAGAUGCUAAUACCGCAUAACAACUUGGACCGCAUGGUCCGAGCUUGAAAGAUGGCUUCGGCUAUCACUUUUGGAUGGUCCCGCGGCGUAUUAGCUAGAUGGUGGGGUAACGGCUCACCAUGGCAAUGAUACGUAGCCGACCUGAGAGGGUAAUCGGCCACAUUGGGACUGAGACACGGCCCAAACUCCUACGGGAGGCAGCAGUAGGGAAUCUUCCACAAUGGACGAAAGUCUGAUGGAGCAACGCCGCGUGAGUGAAGAAGGGUUUCGGCUCGUAAAACUCUGUUGUUAAAGAAGAACAUAUCUGAGAGUAACUGUUCAGGUAUUGACGGUAUUUAACCAGAAAGCCACGGCUAACUACGUGCCAGCAGCCGCGGUAAUACGUAGGUGGCAAGCGUUGUCCGGAUUUAUUGGGCGUAAAGCGAGCGCAGGCGGUUUUUUAAGUCUGAUGUGAAAGCCUUCGGCUCAACCGAAGAAGUGCAUCGGAAACUGGGAAACUUGAGUGCAGAAGAGGACAGUGGAACUCCAUGUGUAGCGGUGAAAUGCGUAGAUAUAUGGAAGAACACCAGUGGCGAAGGCGGCUGUCUGGUCUGUAACUGACGCUGAGGCUCGAAAGUAUGGGUAGCAAACAGGAUUAGAUACCCUGGUAGUCCAUACCGUAAACGAUGAAUGCUAAGUGUUGGAGGGUUUCCGCCCUUCAGUGCUGCAGCUAACGCAUUAAGCAUUCCGCCUGGGGAGUACGGCCGCAAGGCUGAAACUCAAAGGAAUUGACGGGGGCCCGCACAAGCGGUGGAGCAUGUGGUUUAAUUCGAAGCUACGCGAAGAACCUUACCAGGUCUUGACAUACUAUGCAAAUCUAAGAGAUUAGACGUUCCCUUCGGGGACAUGGAUACAGGUGGUGCAUGGUUGUCGUCAGCUCGUGUCGUGAGAUGUUGGGUUAAGUCCCGCAACGAGCGCAACCCUUAUUAUCAGUUGCCAGCAUUAAGUUGGGCACUCUGGUGAGACUGCCGGUGACAAACCGGAGGAAGGUGGGGAUGACGUCAAAUCAUCAUGCCCCUUAUGACCUGGGCUACACACGUGCUACAAUGGAUGGUACAACGAGUUGCGAACUCGCGAGAGUAAGCUAAUCUCUUAAAGCCAUUCUCAGUUCGGAUUGUAGGCUGCAACUCGCCUACAUGAAGUCGGAAUCGCUAGUAAUCGCGGAUCAGCAUGCCGCGGUGAAUACGUUCCCGGGCCUUGUACACACCGCCCGUCACACCAUGAGAGUUUGUAACACCCAAAGUCGGUGGGGUAACCUUUUAGA